GUCGAGUUGUGCGGGUUGUAGUUGAUGAAGAUGAAGCCGCGCGCCUGGUCGAUGAUAUGGAACAGCGGGUUCCAGUCGAAAUAGGACAACAGCGUCGGCGUCAGCGUGUUGGCCACGAACAUCUUGCCCGAGGCGAUCAUGUUCGCCCGCCC
rfam:Defluviimonas sp. 20V17 contig65, whole genome shotgun sequence.